CCACCACCCAUAGGAUGCCACUAGCAUGGUUAGCCACAUACGUGGCCACCCAAUCCGCAGCCCUGUUGGCUUCUCUAAAUAUAUGCUUUGCCUGAACAACCGCUCCGUCCCUCAUCAUCAUCCAGAUAUCGCGAAUCAAGGGAUGAUCAGCGGCAGAAGUUGGAAAAAUUGCAAAAGCCGGAAGAGCCGGCCGAGUUGCCCAAUUUCUUGGGAAGACGUGGUCGCUGCUCGAAGGGUGUUUGAUGAAAUGCCCAAGAGGAGCGUCCUGUCACGGACUGCCAUGAUUUCUGGGUAUUCUCAGAAUGAGUAUCCAGAGGAAGCAAUAGAGGAAUUUUCUUGGAUACGUCAGUUGGAUUUUAAGGCGAAUGAGUUCGCUAAUGGCAGCGCUCUGCGGGUUUGCACUGGUCUGGGUGCAUUUGAAGAGCAGAUUUGCGGAGCAUUUGUUUGCGCGGAGUGCUCUCGUGGAUUUGCAUUUGAAGCGUGCUUCGGAUGAGCAUGCGAUGCUCGGUGCGUGCUCGAGAGGAUGGAGAAGAGAGAUGUGGUUGCUUGGAAUUCGGUGAUUGGAGGGUGUGCGGUGCAGGGGCUUGGAGAGGACGCAUUUGGAUAUUUUUGCUUGAUGCUUAGAGAUGAUUCAUGCUUUGACCGUCGAACUGGGUUAUGAGAAUCAACCUAAUGUUACUGGAUCACUGAUUGAUGCAUAUGCAAAAUUUAGGAGCAUGCAGAGUGCUAGAUGGGUAUAUGACUCGAUGUUCGAGCGAGACUUGAUUUCCUGUACUGCAUUAGUCACUGGGUAUUCACUGAAAAGAAGCUGUAGUGGGAAGGCAUUGGAGCUUUUUGGUGAGAUAAAUAGGAUGGACAUGAGAAGUAAUGAUGCAAUUUAUGUUCCAUGACUUUGUAAUUUUGGUUUGUAAGAUGAUGGUUUAUGGUUGUAGUUUGGAACUCUGGAUGUGGUCGUACUUUGAAGUUUGGAUGGUUUAUGUCGUGUUUGGAGUCUAUUUGAUGUGUUUUGGACAUAGUGGAUUAUGUCCUUUGGAGUUUGGAUGUGUUGUAAUUUGGAUUGUACAAUGAUUCCUUAUGGUUGUACUUAGGAUAGUCUAGCUUUUAUUGAUCAUUUUAUGGAUCAUCUCGGCUUACAAGUUGAAGGUGUAGACCUCUCAAUAUAUAAUUAAAGCAUGACAUCAUGAACUUGGUUAUGAUUGUUUGCUUUUUCUUAUUCAAUUACUAACUUUCUUAUAUUACAAACAUUAUCUAUCUAGAUUUGUGACAAGGUCUGGAAGA